GGAGGAGAUAUGGGGAUAUAUGUAUGUGUAUAGCUGAUUCACUUUGUUAUAAAGCAGAAACUAACACACCAUCGUAAAGUAAUUAUACUCCAAUAAAGAUGUUUAAAAAAAAUUAAAAUAAAAAUUUUCUAAAAAGUGAAAAAAAAACUGAUAGAGAUUUUUCUUUUUAUUUCAGGAUUUAUAGAAACAAGACUGAAUUAUACACAGAAUAGAAAAUUAGCUCUUGUGAUUAUCUUAAAAAAUGGCUACUUCACACAUGCCUCAACACACAGCAGGCUUGGCUUACUGAAUUCUACUGAUUGGGGCAUAAAUGGUCUUUAAAAUUAAAGAAAAAUAAGAGAACAACUCUAGAGGCUAUAUAUGAAAGCUCCAGGGGUCUGCGAAGCGCAGCCCAUGGGUCAAAUCUGGCCUGCCAUCUGUUUCUGUAAAUAAAGUCUUACUGGAACUCAGCCAUUCCCAUUCAUUUGUAUAUGGUCUAUGGCCACUUUCACAUCACUCCAGUAGAGUUGAGUCGUUGCAGCUAAGAUCAUAUGGCCCACAAAGGGUGAAAUACUACUAUACAGAAAAGUAUGCCAACCCCUGGUCUAGACAGUUUCAAAAAGCAAAAAAUUAUUGAGUUUAUUAGGAAGGAUUACCUGACUAAAGGCUCAGUUAGAGCUUCCACAACUCAUUGCCAAGAAAUCAUUUGGGGGACUUUUCAAACUAAUCAUUUUAAGAUGGGUUGUGCAGCCAAAAGAAACUGGACCUCUAAGUUUAUUCUAGACAAGGACCAUUUCUCGUCUGCUUUUAUAUUUUCAACAUUUCACAGUAUGUAAUAAUUACUUUAAAAUGCCUUCAGAACCGUGCUCAAACAUCACUUCCUGACCUUUAUAAUACCAAGCCCACCCUAUCUAAUUAAUUAAUUUGUUAAAUGAAGGAAUAGGUUAAUAAGUAAAUGCAUGCAUGAAUACAAGCUUACAUGCGUAAGUAAUAGGACUGCUUCCUUUGGCUUGGAAAAAUACCUCUUUCUCUAAACAUUUGCCAAGACAGAAUAUCUGCCUGCCCCCAAGAUUGAAUGGAUUUCUAAUAGAUAUCUUCCCUCUUUAACUAUGGUUAUCUUAUAUCAGGUGAUCAUCCACCAGUUACUUUAAAACUCUGGUCACUCAGAAUCCUGCUAAUUUUUCUUUACCAGUUGUAUUUCCUUGUAUUCAUUUGCAUUGACUGGAAUUUUCGCUCUCAAGCCGUCUAGUCACGGAGCAUCCAGCCCCUUGUUACAAAGGGCCCCAUGCUACUAGCCUCCUUGUGGGCAGGGGCCCCUGUGUCAUACUGUUGGAUUCCACUCGAAUCCAUAGAGAAGACACAUCAGACCAGUCAUGUCACUGGAGGGACAGAGAACUCGACUUUUGGCCAGAGCUGCUGCAGAAGGUCUCUCUGCUGGAUCGGGGUGGAUCAUGUUCUGAUGAGAGACACCACCUUGAGUAGUUGGUGAAAUUCUUUGGAGAGCUCCUGAGGAAUGUCUGGAAGAUUCCCCUCACGGAUGUGAUGCCACGCAGCCCCAUUGGACUCCGGAGUGAAGGGAUUAAUAUUGACCAGAGCCAGUGAGGUCAUCGCAUCGGUGAAGGGACCAGGUGUGAGCUUCAGAUGCUUAGAGCUUCGGGAGGGGAGCUUCCCUGUUGAAGAGAUCCCCGACUGGCUCACCUGGCCCUGAAUGAGGAUGAUAAAAGGCAAAUCAGAAUGGAGGAAAUACGUAACUGAAGAUAGAUACAGCCUGUGAAACAGAUCUGCCACACAUACAUAGGACUGGGCCCUCGUUCUCCAUCCGCCGAAGGAACACAGACCUCGGCGGCCUGGCUCCCUCCUCCCCAGCGAUGGACUUACUUUGGGAGUGAAGGGGCUCUCGCAGCGUGGCGGCUUGCCCUUGUCUGGCGGGGCUGGGGUUUCAGGACGUGUGAGAGAGUGUGACACUGGAGUUCUCAGACCCUGACCUGGACUCGCUUGGCCUUUUUCCUGAAAUGUGUUGAGGUCACGUACGUCACUAAGGGGAGUCCUGACAGGUGUAAGCUCUGCCGCCUGAACAGAUCCUGAAUCCUGAGCUCCAGGCUUCUCUGGGGUUUGGCUCUGGGGCUCCUUGCUCUCUUGUGUUUCCUUUUGCCCUUCGUUCUCAUGCUCUUCCUCACAAGAGGAAAAGUUUAAUUUCUGCUUCAGUUCUUUGUCCUCAUCAUUGUCACCCAUCUCAGCCAAAGAGCUUUACAACCUAGGCAAGGAGACCUCUCAGCAGGAAACACUACAGAGCUGCAGAAAUAAGGAGGAGAAAAAGUAACCUGGCAAGUUCCCUAACUCUAGCCCGGCUUUCCUUCUGCCAACUAACAGCUACAUGGAGACACACCCUUGGUUUACUCACUUAAGUACCACGUAUCUGUGUGAUCUCAGCUUCUCCUUAUUUCCAUUCUGAUUAAAGAAGGCUCCAGUAACUCUUUGAGCAAUUAAAUCCAAUUAUGUAUAGAACGCUUCUGGAUAUCCCACAGUCUCCCUGAACCCAUGUGCAACAAACUACUAGGGAAACAGUUGGAUUCUUUAAUUUAGCAUGGCUUUAAAAAUACAUAUUCGCCAACUGGGAAUGAGCUCGUUAUUGGAAAGAAAUUAUUUUCACUCUUUUACACCUACCAUUUAGAAAUAUCACCCUUUCCUCUCCCCCAGUUCCCACCUACCCAGUGGCUAGCAGUAGUUCCUUAGAAUUCAGUAUCACCUGGAUAUCAUAAUGAUCCUUAAACAGCCGCUAACAUAUCUUGGCGGGAGUUCAUCUCCCUAAUAGAGACACACCUGAGAUCUCUGCCAGAUACACCUGUCCUAAUUCAGGCACCUCCACACCCUCCGCCCACCCCCAGGUAUUAGCAGUUAAAGCUUUUAGGGAACUGGACACAUUUUCCCACUGAAAAAAAGAAAGGUAGAAAGGUCAGCAAACAGAGAAGCAGAUAUAUGUAUCACUUGAAAAUAGCAAUUACUUGGGCCCCAGACACCUUAUUUUGUAAAAUAUGUUUUCUUACUGUUUAGAUAUCUUUAACAUACAUUAUUCAAUUUCUUUCUCAGACAGGCCCCUAUGGAGAGGGAAAAAAAAGCUCUUUGAAGAAAAAAAAAAAGGCCACCAAUAUCACCUUGUAGGAGAAACCAUGUGAAAGGCACUACAUGAAAAAGGAAAAUGAUGUACAUGAGCCCCCGGUGCCCUCAGGGGAGACUCUGGAGGGACUGGACAUGAGGAAUUAUUUACACAACAAACGUGGACCCAAAGAGAGGUGCUAAGGAUGAGUUUGGUCUUGACUGAAACAAAUUCAAUGUCCUUUCUCACGAUCGUCUUUGGUUACUCAUUGCCUGUCACCCAUCUUCCACCUUCUGUCUCUUCACCAAUCCCUCCGCCCCUUUCUUUUUUCUCCCUCCUUUCCCAUUUCCCACCUGAACUCAUGAGAAGGUUAAUCCAAGUGGAGAGUAACUGGGGUGGGGGUGAUUGUGAAAGUGUUUCUGCAGCUAAACGCCUUCUCUUGCCCCAGCUUUUUGUAGAUGCGCACACCACCCAAUCAUUCCUUUGUCCUUCCCCAGUCCCUCUGGCCACGCAAACUUUCCAAAUCACUCAACAGGGUAGCUCACUGCUCACCUUUGUCAGGCACUUGGCAUCCCACAGGGGCCAAGGAAAAUAGAGUCAUCCACAGGGAGGGGAGGCCGGUAAAGAAAUUCCUAUUAACUGAGAUUCCGGGCUUCCGAGUGAGUUUCUUGUUUACAAACCAGCGGGCCAUGUGAUAUAAUUCCUUCACUACAGCCUUGGUGCUGAUCAGUUUUCCCCUCUCAAGGCUGUGGCUAGUCACCUCUCCAGGCCAGCUAGAGGCUUGCUCUGCUCUCAGGCAGGAUGGGACCAACCUGAAACCCUCUGACUGUAUCACGGGCCUGCAGCCAGGGCACAGGGGCUGGUGUAUUGCGUGUUAUCCAGUAGGCCAGGUUGGUUUUUAUCAUCACCCCUGCCUUUCCUCUCUGCCUUGCUAGAAUUCUCAAUUCCCUUUACUUAUGACUGCACUGUUUGCCUAGGGAGGCAACUAUGCCACCGUGAUGACCAAUGGUAUAUAACUUGUACCAUUCACCAUCCAUAUAUUAUCACUUAGCAGAUGAUUGCGGCUAAGGCUUCAGAAUAAGAAAGCUAUAAUAACAAGUACGAAAAGAAUAUUCCCGAUUUGGAAAAUAGAACAAUGAGAAUUGGGCAGUUGCCGACCUUGAUGGCCCAAGGGAAUCCCUAGAGGUGCACAUCUGGCCUCUGGCAUGCAGCCCCACUAUUUCUGGUGUCAUGCUUUACUCUUUUCUCUGUCCUUAGCCUCUUCACAUUGUGAAAGAUCCCGUCUUUGCUCCAGUGCAUGUUAAUACCACAGGCAUCCAUCCCAGGCACAAAGCUUAGCAUCAUAGUUGAGAUGAGGUGUCAAAAGGGGAACCCAAAUAGCCUGUGGCAAUAAGAGGAAAAGGAGGGAGGAUUUUUCCCUUAAUGUGGAACACAUGUGGGUGUUCCAUAAACUACUUUUGAAUGGACUUGGGAAAGUAAAAUUAACGUAUCUCAUUUUGUUUAAAAUACUCAGUAUUUGACUUUUUUGAAGGUGGAAUGUUGUUCACAUUGUUAUAGGGAUUUCUGCACAGCAGGAAGGUAAUGUUCCCAGGAGUAAGAGGUACAAGGAGGAGGUCAGCUUUGCAUCUUAGGGCUGGGUUCCCCAAACCGUAUGCUUGGGGGAAACUCCUUCUGCAGACACUGCUGAGUGAUGAGAAAGCUCCUAGACUCAGAGCUCCGCUCUGACCAAACCUCAGUUCUGAGGCCUCUGAGACACUGAAGGGAAGGACAGAAGCAGGGAAAUCCAGCUAAUUCAAAUCGGAUUCACAGGAGGUAGAAACUUGUAUUCACCUUCGAGGUAGACUGUUCCUUUGCAAAAGUAAAGCUAAGGCCGUGGAAAAUGAGAUAUUUGAGGGUCUGUUGCUCUGAGGAGGGACAUGCUAGCCUGAUUGCCUCCUCAGUUAGGAGGGAGAAAUGUAAAAAAUGCUUGAACAAGCCAAAGUGAAGCUCUACCACAUUAUUUACUGAAGACUGAAUUAAGACUGAUUCAUUCCAGACUCUGAAAAAAUACUGAUGCUGGAUUAUGAUGUAUUUGAUGGGACUGCCCCACUGGGAACCAUUGGGAGGUCUGGUUUCCCUGAUAAGAAUUGGACAUUUUUACUGCCAGGCUUAAUGGGAAGCUGGCAGAUUCCAGGACAGGAAGUGAAGACUUGAAGCAGGCUUAAGCAGAAAGCAACUCUCUGGGCUUUGGACUGUUGGGCCUAGAAUCUGAAGACCAGAGACACACUUGAGGGAACUCCAAGGUGGUGGAGGAGAGAAGUUGACUUUUAUCCCCAGAACGUGCCCUGUAGAGGCAACAGUGCAGCAUCAGUGCUCUCAGGAGGGCCCAUGGACCUCAACAACAUAUGGAGGAAUAAUCUCGAGCUCACUGAGGAAAGGGACGAGUAGGCAGUGGUAUCUUCAGGUCCCUCCUACUUCAACCCCAUUGUCUUCCUUGCCCUUAUCUUGCAAUGUUUGCAAUACCUUAGAAAAAAGCAGAACAUGUUCAUCACUGACGUGUACUGUUCAGCUCCCUGGACAGAUCCAUCAGCAGCAGUGACGGUGAGCACGUGCUGGGCCUGGACCCGUCCCAUCAAGGGUCGCAGGUGCUCCUGACUCCUAGCAGCUGUCUUCCCAUGACAAGGGUGGUCAGCAAAGCCAGGAACCGUGAAGGGGACCUUCUCUUGAUCUCCUUCCCACACCAAGAGAGAGUGCACAGAAGCAGCGGCUGUCAGUCGCAGUCAGUCUAGUGAUAAUUACGACAAUCAUUAACAAUAUUCACUAGCGGUACUUAUAUUUGGCCACCACAUUUCUUCUUUUGAAGUCCUUGCACAUCUAUGUCUAAUGAGUAGCAUUCCCAGCAGAACAGAAUUCCAAGGAAAGACUGUGGGCCGGGUAAGAUAAAGCCUGGAAGUCAUCUUAAAGCUUAUGAGUCUAUCAUGAAUACUUUUCUUCUUGUCGUUUUGCUUUUUCUUGUGGAAAUGUUCAAACACACCAGAAGUACAGGAAAUAUAGUAUAAUGAGUCCUGAUGUACCAAUAACCUAGCUUCAAAAAUUGGGGGCAGUUUUACUGUCUUGUUUCGUUUACAUCUGCAGCUUCCUUGGGGGUGGGUGCUGGAGUAUUUUAGAGCAGAUCACUGAUAACAUGUCCUUUCACCCAUGAAUACUUUGGUGCCGUUAGUAAAAAUCCUUAGAUUAAUCUAUUUAUUUGAAAUCUACUAUAUAACUAUGUAAUGAGUAAUCAGAUUCUAAUGAAUUGCUUCUCUUGCCAGAGUUUUCCAUUUGCUAGAACUAGAGGAUAGUCAUCAAAAUAGCUGUUAUAACAGAGAUAUACUACUUGUCCACUCACAAGACAGUAUUCUUCUUAGAACAGGUACAGAGUUCUAACCUCAUAUCCCAAUAAUUUAGAGAUAGUUGAUGUAUGGCCCACACUUUAAGGAGCAGAUAGUUUAAAAUGAUAUGGAUUCAUUAGUCUGAUCUUUUCUCUAUGGGCCACAGUUAGGAGAAUUUAAGUGGCAUUUGACCAUUCCCAGGUUCUCUAAAAUUAGAGCAGGUAGUAGUUGCCUAUGUGACUGAGUCCAAAGCCAGCCCUGCAGCCACAGAGGCGAGAUCUCUGUCUCCUCUGUCUCUCUCUCUCUCACACACACACAACAUACACAACACUCGCGCACGCACACACACACACACACACACACUCACUGCUUUAAUGGGAAGAAAUUAGUAGGGAUGGAGAAGACAUUCUCAGAGCUGGACCUACUGUACCUCAAUCUUGACUCAUUCUCUGUCUCUGCCCUGAGGGGUGGGACUCAAGAAGUCCCAAGGAAUUGGUCAAACAUUCUCAGUCAUUUCUUCACACUUCUGACCCAAUUACAAGAUCCCCACACUGAAGUUUUGCCUUCAUAAAACUAAGCAAGGCAAGGUUUUAAUGAUUUUUUUGAAGCGUGAUUAGGAAUUAAAGCUCUUCCCCAGGAGGUGACCAGCAGAAACUCUAAAGACAGAAACUUAAAAUAUUAGUCUCUCAGAAGAGUGUGUGGGUAUGGGGGACUGGGGGAGAAGGAGAUUGCUACUCAUUAUACGUCCUGCAUGCAAUUCAGUGUAGAUGGGGCUGACGUUACAGUUGUGUGGCUAAUGUAUAAAGUAAAUGUGUCUCCUCCAUUCACAUUCUAAAUUUCACCCCGUUACACCUCAGCUUGUCCCACAAUCUGGACUCCUGUCUGGACCACUGGUAUUUGCCCUGGUCCACUAAUUAUGCAGACUGAUCAUGGAGGCAGAGCAACCUGUUCCUCACAUGGAUGGAAGACUACCUGGCCAAAUAAAAUGGCUUAGUUAUAUAAAGAUGUUGACCCUUCUCCAGUAAAUAUGUACAGAUGACCCUUGAACAGUGCAAGAGUUGGGGCUCGACCUUCAGCAUUGUCAAAAAUCCGCAUGUAACUUACAGUCGGCCCUCUGUAUCUGAGACUCCCCUGCAUCCGUGGGUCCCCAUCUGUGCUUUCAACCAACCACAGAUGGUGUAGCACUGUAGUGUCUACUACUGACCACCCAGGCGUAAGUGGACUCGUGCCCUUCAAACCUGUGUUGCUUAGGGGUCAACUGUAAUUCUCAUGCAAUUUCAAAUGAACAAAGAUCACAUUAUUUUGAAACUGGCUAAAAUGAUUUUAAAUUUCACAUGGAAAAAUCAUUGUCAAAGAAAUAGCUGAAGAUUUUUUAAAAAGAGUGAACAGAGAAGACUACCUCUCCUAGAAAUAGAACUUUAAAUUGUAUGUAGAAUAGGCAGGUCAGUGGUGAAGAAUAUAUAGCUUAGUAAAUAUCAGUAAUAUUAAAUAUUUUAGUCUCACUUCCUAUCACAUAUCAAUAUAAACAAUGAAUAGAUGAAGAGAUCAAAUGUGGAAAAUCAAACAUAAAUAACUAGAAGAAAAUAAAAGUGAAGGUUGAUCAAAUUUCUGGGAGGGGAACAACUUUAUAAAUGUCAAAGCAAUGUGAGAAAUCACAAAAAGAAUUGAUAAGCUUGAUGACAUAAAAUUUAGAACUUCUAUAUUUCAUAAAGCAAUUAAGCAGCAUUGAAACCAUACAGCAAAUUGGAAGUAAUAUUAACAAAAAUUAUGACAAAAGAUUAAUAUUCUUACUGCAUAAAGAACUCAUGCAAAUUGAUAACAAUUCUUCGGACCGUGUCUUCAGACAGUGCUCUGAAGAGGAACCACAAAUCACCAACAUAUAUUUCGAAACCAUGAUUAGAUCCAGUGACAAAACGUUAACUUAAAACAAAAUGCCAUGGUCAUCUGACAAUUGG